AAAAAACAUACUGCGAGACUUGCGGCAGAUGGCACUGUUCAAACACACAGGGUCCCUGGAAGUUUUCCAUUCAUCAAUGCUAAAGUAUACGCAGAAAAGGCUUCACUUUUCAUAUGACGUAAUGCUGGCCAGAACCCAACUUGCGGUUAUGGACCACAACGCCAAUGUUGGCAAGGAGCAGGCCAAAACAAAGCAAGGACAACCGCAAUUUGCAUUUGCCUACUCAAAGGCCAGUCAUCAGUGGAUUGCUAGGCCAGUGUAUGAGAGAGGUGUGCAACUAUUCCGCCAAGAGCUCA